ensembl:lncRNA
UUCAGUUUGCUUGAGGCAAACAAUUGUAUUGUGUAUUACAGCAUGCAAGAGAUCUAAUUUUUUUUCCAUGCAGUAAAUUAGUAGCAGUUCAUUGUAAAGGUCAUCCUUCUUUGCAUCGCUUGCUAUGGGAGAUGUAGGAUUUCCUGGAGUUAGCUUUUGAUAGAUGCAGUCCUUCCAUUAAAGUUAAAUUUUUGAGGAUGGGACAGAAGUACAGCUACAGUUCUCUUGAGGAAGGAGGGAGUGAGAAACACUGCGCAAGUGACAUCUUCCCCUGUAUUAGCAACCACACUGAACUUCUGGUCAGCUUUUUAUGAGUUCAUGACAGGUUGGCUCUUCACAGAAGCCAGUACUUGCCAUUGGUUAAAGUUGCUGUGACACAG